rnacentral:rRNA from 1 species
GUGUCAGCCGCCGCGGUAAUACGAAGGGGGCUAGCGUUGCUCGGAAUCACUGGGCGUAAAGCGCACGUAGGCGGAUAUUUAAGUCGGUGGUGAAAUCCUGGAGCUCAACUCCAGAACUGCCUCCGAUACUGAAUGUCUUCGAGUCCGGGAGAGGUGAGUGGAACUGCGAGUGUAGAGGUGAAAUUCGUAGAUAUUCGCAAGAACACCAGUGGCGAAGGCGGCUCACUGGCCCGGUACUGACGCUGAGGUGCGAAAGCGUGGGGAGCAAACAGGAUUAGAUACCCUCGUAGUCC